AUUGAACGCUGGCGGAAUGCUUUACACAUGCAAGUCGAACGGCAGCAUAGGUGCUUGCACCUGAUGGCGAGUGGCGAACGGGUGAGUAAUACAUCGGAACGUGCCCAGUCGUGGGGGAUAACGUAGCGAAAGUUACGCUAAUACCGCAUACGAUCUAAGGAUGAAAGCGGGGGACCGUAAGGCCUCGCGCGAUUGGAGCGGCCGAUGUCAGAUUAGGUAGUUGGUGAGGUAAAGGCUCACCAAGCCGACGAUCUGUAGCUGGUCUGAGAGGACGACCAGCCACGCUGGGACUGAGACACGGCCCAGACUCCUACGGGAGGCAGCAGUGGGGAAUUUUGGACAAUGGGCGCAAGCCUGAUCCAGCCAUUCCGCGUGCAGGAUGAAGGCCCUCGGGUUGUAAACUGCUUUUGUACGGAACGAAAAGGCUCUGGUUAAUACCCGGGGCUCAUGACGGUACCGUAAGAAUAAGCACCGGCUAACUACGUGCCAGCCGCCGCAGUAA
rnacentral:rRNA from 1 species